GUACCGCGAUGCGCUGGUGGGUGGGCUGCUGCUGGCGGCGGCCGUCCGGGGGCGCGACACCCGCGGGUGGUUCCUGGCCUCCGGUGGUGCU
rnacentral:tRNA from 1 species